CAAAAGAUAAACCGUCACUCUAAUAUAGUUGUAUACAAAAUGGAGAAGGCAUCAAGCAUCUUGUUCUCUCUUUUUUGUUUGUUCAUUUUGUUAGGUUCGCCUUCAUCUAUGGUGGUGGGACAAGGCAAGGCAUGUGAAAGUGUUAAAGAUUGUUAUACUUUGUUUUGCAAACGUAUACAUCUAGUUUGUUUAGAAGGACAUUGUAUUUGCAACGAGGCACCAAAAUACAUGGCAAGAGGUGGUUCUUUAAGUGUCAACAAUUAAAUGUAUUGAUGGAGUUUACCUUACUAUUUCAAUAAAUUAUAUUUAUUAUCA